rnacentral:lncRNA from 1 species
AGGAGCUUCCUGUAGGAUGAAAUGUUUCGAUCUUGAAGGAUGCUUUUACAAAACAACAUGGAAGACUGGGAAGUCUGACGACUGGGCGUGGAUGGAUUCAAGCAGCCACUCCUGGACCCUGUCACCCAUGGGCGAUGUUACAGAGGAGACAGAGUGCUUGAGGAAGAUCCCCAGGACAUGAAGCUGUCGGCUUCUGAUAAUUAAAGGGACUUCAUGGUUUGGUCAAGGGCCCCAUCUGGCACGGUGGCAGGAGGAAUCCUAGCAUUUUAAGGUUUCUCAAAGGAGCAAGCCGACAACAGGACAAGCUAAAGCGCUUGCUAUGUCCCAUCAGGAACAAGUUUUAAUGGUGAAAAGUGAGAUGCUCCAGCAUCUGUGGGACUGUGGGAUGCACCGGUGUCCCCUGUUCAGCUGUGGGGUCAUGCAGACAGCGUGGGGCGGGGGGCAUUGGGAAUGGAGAGGUUGAGUCAGGCUGGAGAGUGUUCGGGCCUUGCUUUUGCAUGCUGUGUGACCCUGGGCAAAUAAAUCAACAAACAUUCUGUACA